ACGGCUCAGUAACACGUAGCUAACCUACCCUUAGGACGUGGAUACCCCCGAGAAAUUGGGGUUAAUCCGCGAUAGAUGUAAUGUCCUGGAAUGGUAUUACGUCCAAAGGUAUUUCAUACAUGUUUGAAAUAUGCCUAAGGAUGGGGCUGCGGCCGAUCAGGCUGUUGGUGAGGUAAUGGCUCACCAAACCUUUGACCGGUACGGGCCAUGAGAGUGGUAGCCCGGAGAUGGACACUGAGACAAGGGUCCAGGCCCUAAGGGGCGCAGCAACCGCGAAACCUCCACAAUGCACUCACGUGCCGAUGGGGCUAUCUCGAGUGCCACCUGAUGAAGGUGGCUUUUCCUUGGUCUUCAAAGCCUUGGGAAUAAGAGGGGGGCAAGACUGGUGUCAGCCGCCGCGGUAACACCAGCCCCUCGAGUGGUGGGGAUGAUUAUUUGGCCUAAAGCGUCCGAGCCGGCCGAGCAAGUCUUCCGUUAAAUCCAGCGUCUCAAGCGUUGGACUGCGGGAGAUACUACACGGCUAGAGAGUGGGAGAGGUCAGCGGUAUUCUGGGGGUAGGGGCGAAAUCCUUUGAUCCCCGGAGGACCACCAGUGGCGAAGGCUGCUGACUAGAACACGUCUGACGGUCAGGGACGAAAGCUGGGGUAGCGAACCGGAUUAGAUACCCGGGUAGUCCCAGCCGUAAACUGAUGCAUGCUAGGUGUUGGGUUGGCCACGAGCCACCCCAGUGCCGCAGGGAAGCCGUUAAGCAUGCCGCCUGGGAAGUACGAUCGCAAGAUUGAAACUUAAAGGAAUUGGCGGGGGAGCAC
rnacentral:rRNA from 1 species